rnacentral:rRNA from 1 species
AACGGAGGGUGCAAGCGUUGUUCGGAAUUACUGGGCGUAAAGCGCGUGCAGGUGGUUUUCUAAGUUUCGUGUGAAAUCCCAUGGCUCAACCAUGGAACGGCACGGAAAACUGGGAGACUUGAAUACGGGAGAAGAGGGCGGAAUUCCCAGUGUAGAGGUGAAAUUCGUAGAUAUUGGGAGGAACACCGGUGGCGAAAGCGGCUCUCUAGACCGAUAUUGACGCUCAUACGCGAGAGCGUGGGUAGCAAACAGG